AUUGCUCAGCAAUUGAGUGUUACAUGGAAGAAUAUGGUGUAACAGCACAAGAGGCAUAUGAUGUAUUCAACAAGCAUGUUGAGAGUGCUUGGAAGGAUGUGAAUCAAGAGUUUCUGAAACCAACAGAAAUGCCAACAGAAGUUUUGAAUCGUAGCUUAAACCUUGCAAGGGUGAUGGAUGUACUCUACAGAGAAGGUGAUGGCUACACAUAUGUUGGAAAAGCGGCUAAGGGUGGAAUCACUUCAUUACUCAUUGAACCAAUUGCACUUUGAAAUCGUAUUAAAUUUUCCUCUUCUGUUCCUUAAGGAAUAGUUAUUAAGUUAUAAUUAAUAAUGUUUUAUAAUAUAUAUAUUAUAAAAGAAAUUCUAAAUCAACUGUCUUUGUAUUCAUUUCCCUGUAUUGAUCUAAUAAAGUUCUUUUCAAGCUUUCAUUUGUGAAAAAUCUGCUAUUUUAUAUUUUAUAUUUUAAUUUUCCUUCUUUCGUUGCUAUAGCUUUGAACACAAAAUUUAGAGUAUGAUCCUAUCAUGCUCUUCCUUUUUACCAACAUUGUUGUCACUUUCAAUGAUUUUUCUCUUCUUCGCCAUAACAUUAUCAUCAAGAUUGCAUGUGAUAAAGUUUUGCCAUUCAGAUAGCCUUUUCAAGGCUCGCCACUAGAAGCUCACUUAAAUAGGGAUACUUGUUAAUAAAAUAUGUUUGUUGUCCUUGUUUUUAGGCAUAUAUUUGCUGCACAUCAAGGAUUUAGUGGCUACAGAUCAUGGGUUUAUUUGGUUUAGAUUUUUUUUCCUUAGUUGUUAAGAGUCCUAUUCUGAGUCGUUUGUUGUUAGUGUGCGAUUUCUUGAUUUUUCUAUCAUGUAAUUGCCUAUAUAAUAGGUUCUUGAGGUUGUGAAUAAAUGAGUUGAUCAUCUUAUUUUCCCUUUCCUUUAUUUUUUUCAUCUUGCUGUUAUCUCCUUAGUAAGCUAAUAGUUGUGUCAGAGCCUGGUAAAAGAAGAGUAUUUUCGGUGAGAGAAAAAUGUUUAUGGUCCUCUUAUGGCUUUUGAAAAUUGUUUGCAACUACCUAUUCCACAUUUUGACGGUCACUAUGACCAUUGGAGAUGUUGAUGGAGAACUUAUUAUAGUCCAAGGAGUAUUGGCAAGUCAUUAAGCACGGUAUAGCAACACCAACAGAUGGAGAAAAGCUUACAGAAUACAACAAAAAAGACUUGAAGGGGCUGAAGUUCAAAGAUUUGAAAGCAAAGAAUUACUUAUUUCAAGCUGUUUCGAUCCUAGAAACCAUUCUUUGCAAAGAAACUUUCAAGGAUAUUUGGUACUCCAUUAAGACAAAAUGUCAAGGCUCUUCCAAAGUGAAGCGUGCAUAGCUUCAAGCUCUUUGGAAGGACCUUGAGGUUCUUCGGAUGGAGGAUGGUGAGUCCAUUAUAGACUAUUGUGCAUGAACCAUGGGAAUCAUGAGUAAUAUGUGAUUUCAUGGUGAGAAGAUGAAUGACACAACCAUUGUUAAGAAGAUACUACGGUCCUCAUCACCAAAGUAUGAUUAUGUUGUCUACUCAAUUGAAGAAUCCAAUGACAUUGAUGCACUCACCAUUGAUGAACUCCAGAGUUCCUUGUUGGUCCAUAAAUAGAAGAUGAAUAGAACUUCUACCCCCAAUGGAGCAGGCUUUGAAAGCUUCAACUCAUUCUUUCAAAAGAAGAAAUGGAGGUCAAGGAAAGGGAAGAGACAGAUGAGACAGUUGGAAUAAAAAUAGUGGCAGGUAUGCCAGAUCAGAUGAUAAAGGCAAACAACAAGAUCGACAAUUUGACAAGUCAAAGGUAGAAUGUUUUGGAUGUUAUAAGUUUGGUCAUUAUUGUUUUGAAUGUCGUACUAAUCUAUCAAUGAUAAGGAAAAGGGAGAAAAGUCAAAAUUUUCAUAAAAAGAAGCUAAAACCUUGUUAAUGGCAAUUCAUGACAAGCAAGAGAAGCCACAAAACUCAUGUUUAUGGUAUGUGGAUACAGGCUGUAGCAACCACAUGUGCGGUAAUAAGUUUUCUUUCUCUUAUCUAAAUGAAGACUUUCACAUUAAUGUGCCUUUUGGAGAUAAAUCUAUUGUUGAUGUAGUGGGAAAGGGUGGUAUUAGUAUAAGAACCAAUAAUAGUUUUGUAGAAACAAUGUCCCAUGUUUUCUUUGUGUCUGCUUUGAAAACUUAUUAAGUGCUGGUCAAUUGCAAGGAAAAAGAUAUGUGAUUACGGUAUCAAAAAGUGAUUGUGAAAUUUAUGAUCCUUCUAGAGGUGCUAUUGCAGUGGUUCCAAUGAGUUCCAACAGGUUGUUUCCAUUAGUGAUUGAUUGUUUUCAACCUUGCUUGAUGGCUAAAGUGAAGGACAACACAUGGCUUUGGCAUUUUUGAUGUGGUCAUCUUAAUUUUGAGGGUUUGAAGACUCUUUGGUAGAAAGAGAUGGUCAACGACCUCCCUCAGAUUGUCAUUCAAACCAUGUGUGUGAAGAUUGUGUUGUUAGCAGACAACAUCAUGAACAAUUUCCCAAAAUAAAGUUUUAGAUAGCAAAACAUGUGCAGGAAUUGGUCCAUUUAGAUAUCUGUGGACCAAUAAAACCAUAAUCUAAUGGAGGUAAAAUUUAUUUCUUUACUUUCAUCGAUGAUUAUUUCCAAAAAUUGUGGGUUUACUUUUUGCAGGAGAAAUCGGAAGCAUUUAGUGCAUUUACUAGCUUCAAGGCACUUGUUGAGAAUGAAAUCGGGAAAACCAUUCAAGUUCUUCGCAUUGAUUGUGGUGGAGAAUAUUGUUUCAAGGAAUUUGAAGCAUUUUGUGAGAGCCAUGACAUCUGGAAAAAGCUUACCACUGCAUAUACCUCCCAAAAAAAUAGCGUAUAAGAGAGGAAAAACAGAACCAUACUUAAUAUGGUGAAAAGCAUGCUUGCUAGUGGAAGGGUCUUAAAAUAAUUUUGGGCAAAAGGAGUAAAUUGGAGCAUCCAUGUCUUGAAUAGAAGCCCAACUUUUGCUGUUCAAAACAUGACACCUGAAGAAGCUUGGAGUGGAAGGAGACCAGCUGCAGAUCACUUCAAAAUUUUUGGUUGCAUUGCUUAUGCACAUGUUCCAAAUGUAAAGAGAAAGAAGCUUAAUGUCAAAGGAGAGAAGCGUGUCUUUCUAGGUGUAAGUGAAACAUCUGAAGUGUAUAAAUUGUUUAAUCCUUUAAAGGAGAAAAUUGUGAUUAGCAGGGAUGUAAUUUUUGAUGAGGAGAAUACUUGGAAUUGGGAUGACAAACAACCUUUUCAAACCUUUGUUGGUACUGAAGUUGAAGAUGAAAAGCAGUAGCCUUUAGAUUAGUAGACUCAAGCAACACUUAAGCUUAAGAGUUCACCAAAUAAUACUCUAAUAAGUAGUUGAACCUCAUCCUAGCUAUAUUUGACGGAGACCAGCUUGGAUAGGAGAUUUUUAGGUAAUCAGCGUUGGGCAGACUGAAGAUCCAACCAUCUAUUUUGCUUUAUUUGCGGAUUGUGAUCUAACAACCUUUGAAAGUGCUGUAAAUGAGUCAAAAUGGAGAAAAACAAUGGAUGAAAAAAUUGCAGUAUAGAGAGGAAUGAUACAUACAAGUUCACUAAACUUCCAAAAAGGCACAAGACAAUUAGUGUCAAAUAGGUGUACAAGACAAAGUUGAAGGAGAAUGGAGAAGUUAAUAAGUAUAAGGCACAUUUGUGGCUAAAGGUUAUAAAUAGGAGUUUGGGGUAGAUUACAAAGAAGCCUUUGCUCCUGUUCCAAGGCAUGAUACAAUCAGAUUGGUGAUUUCACUUAUAGUCUAAUACUCUUGGCCUAUCUUCCAACUAGAUAUGAAUUCGACAUUUUUACAUGGUGAGCUCAAAGAACAGGUUUUUAUUGAACAACAUACUGGUUAUGUUAAACAUGAAAGUGAAAAUAAAGUUUAUAAACUAAAAAAAGGCUUUAUAUGGGUUGAAACAAGCCCCACAUGCUUGGUAUAGUCGAAUUGAAGCUUAUUUCUUGAAAGCUGGUUUUCCCAAGUGUCCUUAUGAGUCUACUCUUUUCAUUAAAACUGGUGAUAAAAGGAAAAUACUUAUUGUGAGUUUAUAUGUUGAUGGUUUUAUUUUCAUUGGAAAUUGUAGUUCCAUGUUUAAUGGAUUCAAGAAGUCUGAUGGUUGAGUUUAAAAUGUCAGAUCUUAGUAUGAUGCAUUAUUUUCUAGGCAUAGAAGUAGUGCAAUCAACUAAUGGAAUAUUUUUUUCUCAAAGGAAAUACAUUCAAGAUAUUCUGAGCAAGUUUGACAUGAAGGAUUGCAAUCUAGCAAGCACCACCAUUGAGUUUGGCUUGAAGUUGAGCAAAGAAGGAAAGUAAGUGGACAACACUUUUUAUAAGCAGAUUGUAGGCAAUUUAAUGUACUUGAUUGGUACAAGACCUGACAUAAUAUAUUUUGUGAGUUUGAUCAGUAGGUUUAUGGAGAAUCCUACAGAGAUGCAUUUAUUGGUUACUAAGAGAAUCCUUCGUUACUUGCAAAGAACCAUAUAUUUUGGGUUGUUUUACAAAAAAGGAGAAUUUUAAUAUCUAUUUAGGUUCAUUGACUGUGACUGUAGGAGAUCUAGAUGAUAGAAAAAACACUUCAGUUUAUGUUUUCAUGAUGGGAAUCGGAGUUGUUUCAUGGUCAUCCAAGAGGCAAUCUAUUGUUCCUUUGUCAACAACUGAAGCUGAAUUUGUUGUUGCAACAACCUGUGCUUGUCAAGCUAUUUCGUUGAGAAAAAUCUUGGAGGAGCUGAAAUUCAAGAGAAUGGGAGCUACAAUAAUUUUUUGUGACAACAACUCAGUUAUCGGAUUCUCAAAAAAUCCAGUAUUACAUGGUAGAAGCAAGCAUAUUGAUGUGAAGUACUAUUUUUGAGAGAUCUUAACAAUGAUGGGGUAGUUGAUCUUAAAUGCUGCAAGAGUAAAGAUCAGCUGGAUGACAUAUUCACCAGACCUGGCAAAUUAUUUCCCUUAUUGUGAGUCCUAUUGUGAGCCUUAUUAUGUUAGUGCCUAAUUUCUUGAUUUUUCUGUUAUGUAAUUGCAUAUAUAAUAGGUUUUUGAUGUUGCGAAUAAAUGAACUGAUCAUCUUAUUUUCCCUUUCCUUUAUUUUUUUCAUAUUGCUGUUAUCUCUCUUAGUAAGCUAACAGCACCUUCACCUCUUUAAGCCCUACCAUUAUCAACUUGCCCUUUAGAAUCAGUGCUACAAAGCUCUCCUUUCAAACUCACCAAGAAGCUCCACCAACAAAAUGUCUACACCAUCAACAUCACCUCUCUAGGCAAGCCAAUGACAACACAUUACACCUUGCCCAAAAAUAUUAUCUCAUGGAAGGCCACUUUAUAAUCUCUUGCUCAAUUGCAAUAGAGGGGUGAUCCACCCAAGCACACUUACAUAAAAAUGGAACAAAUAAAAUCAAUUAUAUCAACAACGUAGGCACCACAUUAUCAUAAGCAUGAUGGUGUCAAAUUAUAAUAUAGUAGUUACAAUGGAACACUUACAUAAGUACUCCAAGGAUCAUUCUUCCACAUGGAUUGAUAAAGGAAGUCCAUAACCAAACAAACAAAUUUGGCCAUUACAAAUACAAUGAGGUAAACUUAAAUGAUCUUUGAAUAGUUAGGUGACCAAAGGGUAAACUUACUAGUUGUUGAGUGGCUAUAAGUGUAGUUUACCAAUUCUUUAAUGUUUAAGAUUACUUUUGUUUAAAUCUUACCUUUUUGCUUCAAAAUUAUUGGUGUUCUUGGUUGGUUGAAAAACUAGAGGAAUGGGAGGAAGGAGUGGAAAAGUGGAAAGAAAAUAAAAUUUAAUUGUACUUCGUAGGGAAUAAAAGUGAGAGAAAAGAAAAUAGGAGAGAUAAUCAUUUUUCAUCUUAAUGCAUAGAAAUCAAUCCUUCCAAAUUGGAAAGAUGAGAGGAGAGAAUAUUAUAAAGAUGUGUAUGUUAGUUUAAAAUUAUGCUAUUUUCUUUCAUUUCAUUUUUUAACUCUAUCAAACAAUAGAGGGAAAGAAAAUUACUUUGUUUUUCCACUUUUUCAUUUCUCCUAUCAAACACAACUACGGAAAGAAAAUUUAUGUUUUCCAUCCUUCUAAUUUUCAACCCCUUCAAUAUUCCAUCUUUCCAAUUUUCUUUCCACUCCAACAAGCAAAGCGAAAAUGUCUAGAGACAAAAUUGUUGACUUUUAUAAUUGUUAUAACAAACGUCGAUAAUGACAAUAGCAUGAUCGCAAAGUAUGAAAAAAAUAAGAACACACAGAUUUUACGUGGAAACCCUUUCGGGAAAAAACUACGGACAAAGGAGAAGAAAUUUACUAAUGUUGAAAAACGAAUAAUACAGGAGAAGUUUCGACUACAUCUAUUAAAAAGGUUAAAAAAUCCUAUUAUAAUCAAUAUCAAAUAGAAUAAAUAUAGUUCUUCAACAAGUGACGGGAUUUGGGUCACACAAACUCUAACAAUAAUUAAUGAAUUAAUUUAGUCUUUUACUUCAUAAUACAAUGACCCACAUUGUGAAAUUUCCAUUUCUGUUUUAGAAAAUUUCUAAAAAAAAGUUGUUUAGAAAUAAUCUUCUCAUGAGUUGUAAGUAAAAAAUCCAGUAAUAUUAUUAAAUAUUUAGUAAUAUUACAAGAAAUCUGUAUUCCUAAUAUAAGUAGCUUUGUAAAAGACUUAGUAAUUUACAUUGUAAGAAAUUCAAUAAUUUAUUGAAAAUGUUACAAUGUUGUAGCAAAUUCAGUAUUUUAAGUAGCCCACACUAAAUCUUUUUUAAAAUUACUGAAUUUAUAAUAAUUACUGAAUUACUUACAUGAUUACCAAAAAAAACUUCAACUAUUACUGAAUUCAUUAUGACAUUUUUUAUUUAUCUAAUUUCUUAAGGAAUUCUAUCAGUAAUUCAAUAAUUCUUUAAGAGUUUUAGUAAUUCAGUAUUUUUACGAAAUUUAGUAAUUUACGAAAUUAUGAAAAAUUAGGUAAACAUUAAAAUGUUUUAAGAUAUUCAAUAAUUGAUUUAGGUUAUUCAAUAUAUUUUAAUUUUAAUUUUAGUUUGGCCAUAAUAAGCACUUUUGUUCCUUGGGUUUGUGGGUUUGCUGCAAAUUAGAAAGGUUUCAUCAAUUUUUUAUUUAUUUCUCUAGGUUAUUAGAGUGAAUUCAAUAAUUAAUCCUCCACAUUCAAUAGGUCCAUUAAGGGGUAGAUGCGGACAACGAGUUUUAAAAUUACUCCAUACCCAGGAUAAUAAUUGAACAUUGGGCCACUGGUUAAGAUAGAAGAGACCCUUAACAUCUCAUUUAACUCCUGUGGCUAAAGGGUUCGUUAAUUUUAACAAUAUGUUUUAAGCUUCGUUAUGAGUUAACCCUUCACUCUCCUAGCUACAGAACUAAACUAAAGCAUCAACUUCUAGCUCCCCUUACCAUCAUGCAAUGGUCAUUUCGUGCUUUCAUAAAAUAAAAGUCCAUUUCAAAAGAGAGAAAUCUGAAUAAAAGAUUCAUCAUUAGCAAUAAAAAACAUGAAGAAAUUGAGAAGAAAACAAAAGAAAGAAAAGAGACAUGCCCAUUUCAGAAGGUGGAAAGCCUAAACUUUAGUUUAGAUUUUUAGGGAUUUCUAAGAAGUUUUUUUUUCGAAAAUCAAGCAAAGGAUUGGAUUUGAAAUUUUAGUUUUUUUUUCAUAUAUAUUUUAGUUUUUUUAAAAUUUUUAUAUCAUUUUUAUUUAAAAAUUUUUAGGAACUAUAAAAAAGAAAUAUAUAUAUAUAGUGAUUAGUUCUGCAAUUCAACUUAAAUUUUUCAUCUAACAUAAUUACUUAACAUGUUACGUUAGCUUACUGUUAUUUUAUUAAUGAUAAUUAAUAGCUCAAUAACUAGAUAUUACAAAUCGAUAACGUUAGUGACCAUUUUGUAACAAAUUAAAAUCCAAUGACUAAAAUGUAAUUUAAACCAUAGAUAAAUGAAUAUUUUUAUAAUUUAUCCUAUAUAAUAUUAUAUAUAUGUACCUCAAGAAAAAAAAAUAUCAUACAUAUGCACGCCAAACUAUAUAUAUAUUUAAUGUUAAGUUUCUAAUAUACAAUAUUUAUAAUAUUUAUAAAAAUUAAAUUUUAAGUUUAAAAAUUAUGAAAAAUUUUAAAAAUCUAAAAGUUUCAAACUACACCAACUGACCACAUGCUUGUUGGAAAUACUUAAAUUCAAUGCACAAUAAAAUACUAAAAAGAAAGGAGUUAAUAUAUGUUAACUUUGUUGAUGUGGUAUAUAUGUAAAUUACUAUGUGAAUGAAAUCUCAACAAUUAAAAUUUUUAAAUUUUAGAAAGUUUAACCAAAUAUAUAAAAAAAUAUUUUAAAAUUUAAAAUCAUUUUAAAAAUUUUAAAAAUAUAUUUUAAAAAUUUUAAAAAUUAAUUAAUUGUUAACGUGGCACAUACGUGGAUGCCAUAGUAAUAAAGUUAACAAACAUUAAUUUUUCCAUCCAGUUUGGGAUGAUUUGACAAACAAUGCAAAUUCAAGAGCUAAAAGAGACGAAAAAUUAAAUGAAGAACUAAAAUGACAUUUUAUAAAGUUGAAGGGCUAAAUAAAUUAUUAUGCUUUUUUAAUAACCGUUAUUUCUUUCUUUUUUUUAACAUGCCAAAUUUAAAAUAUGUAUAUUAAAUAUUUAAUUUUAUAUUGUGUGCGAAAUUAAUUGAUUUGGUUUAAUAUAAAUAAAAAUGUAAUACUUAAUUACUCAGUAUUAGAUAAGUUUACUAUCAAUUAGUAAAAAGUAAUUAUAAUAAGUGAAAGUUAUUUUUAGAAUUUAAAGUUUAUCCAAAUGAAUUAUUAAUGCCAUUAGUAGAACUACGAAUGCACAAUAAGGGAAGAAUAUAUCAAUUUUAUUGAUAAAUCUAGACGCCUUUAGUGAAAUUUGCUGAUUCCCUUUGAAUAUUGUUUUUAAAAUUAUGAGUUCCAAAUAUAAAAUUCUAGUAUUGACUGAAUCAUACAACUAUAGAAUUCAAUUUGAAAAAAAUAUGUUAAAUUAAUUGUGAAAAAUACCUUAUUUAAAGAGUCAAGCCGACAUUUUUUUUUUCUUUCUUUUUAUUAUUAUAAAUAUGAAGUAAACAAACACCUGUUAAAUAAUUAUAUUCAUGUUGAAAUUAAAGCGUCCGGUGAAUUUAAAAAUUCUUUUUAGAGGGCCUGAAAAUGAAUUAUAUAUCGUUUCGAUAGUAAAAAAGUAAUUUCAUCAUUUUAAUAGUUUAUAUCUUUAUAAUUUUUAAAGAAUUAAAUCAAAAUUUAUUAUUUUUAGGGUCAAAGUACAAUUUUAUCAUUACUAAUUUGAAAUUUUAUAAAUUAUAAAAAACUUUAAAUAGAAAAUUUUCCAUUUUAAGGGGAACCGAAAUUCCUCUGGCUCCGCCCGACACACAUCACAGUUGCACAUAAUUAAUUAAUAGAUUAAAUCUUAUUACAUGUUUCUCAUUUUUAUUUCUUAUUUCAACGAAUUCAUCGUCACUAAGAUUGACUAAUUUGUCCUUUACAAUGAUCCAAAAGACUUUUCAACACUCUCAGUCUAAGGGGUUCCUCCGGAGUCCGUAUAUUAUGUUUCAAGUCAAUAAUUUUACUGUUUUUUUAUGGAUGCUGAAAAUAUGAUCAAUGUGCCCCUUUUCCCCCCUUAAAUUAUCUCAUUAUGCUGAAAAUUAUGUUAAAUUAAUUGUGAAAAUAUGUUAUUGAAAUAGUCAAGCCUUUUUUUUAAUGCUUUUACUAUUAUAAUGGCAGUACACUUGCAAAUAUAAAUUCAUGUUUAAGGCAAAGAAUUGAAAACAAUUCAUCAUUAGAUAUUUAUGAGUUAAAAGUUGGGUUGAGUCGAGAUCUAGUUUAAAAUAUUUUUCAAGUUUAAGUCUAUUUUCGGGUUAAAAAUUAAUAAAAUAUUAAAAAUAAAUUUUUAAUUGUUAUUUUAUAUAAUUUUAGAAUUAAAUUUUAAUUUUAAAAUAUUUUUUAUUAUUUAAAUUGAAUUCAAGUCAGGCCGGUUCGAACUGCAAAAAUUCUUGUCCAAAUCUGAUCUAAAAACUAAACUCAAUUACCCAAAUUAUUUAAAUUAUUUAUACUAUGUUAAUUAGCAAUUUAAAAAAUUUGUAAAAGUUGAACGUCGACAAUAACAAUAUAGAACGAUUGCAAAGCAAAAGAAAGAAAAAAUAAGAACACGAAGAUUUUACGUGGAAACCCUUUCGGGAAAAAAAGACCAUGGGUAGAGGAAAAAAAAAUUCACUAAUGUCGAAUUCGAAAGAUACAAGAGGAGUUUAGACUACGUCUAUUUAUAGGUUGAAAAAUCUUAUUCUAAUCAAUGUCAAAUUAUUAAAGAGUAGUAAGGUUAAAAAACCUUAUUCUAAUCAAUGUAAAGUAAAAGAAGUAUAGUUUUAUAUGAAUUUUAUUUUAUUUUUAUUUUAACAAGGACUCAAGUCACUCAACUCUAACAAUCUCCACCUUGACAUGAAUUCUCAACGAACAAGUUCUUCACCACGAACUCUUAACGAACAAGUUCUCCACCUAUCCCACGAAACCCUUUAAAGGGUGUUCUUCAACAAUGAAUACCAGUCAAGUCCAAGCAAUACUCAAACUUCUUGGUUAUAGGAAGUGGCUUAGUCAUCAUAUCCGUAGGAUUUUCAUGAGUACUAACUUUGCUCACAACAAUAUCACCACAAGCAAUAAUAUCAUGCACAAAAUCAUACCGAACAUCAAUAUGAUUUGUUCUCUCAUGAAACAUUUGAUCCUUCGUAAAGAAGAUGACACUCUGACUAUCACAAAACACUGUAUUGAUCUGAAGGUCUUUACUGAGUUCACCAAAGAGUCUCUUUAACCAAAUAGUUUUUUUACAAGCCUCGGUAAUCGCCAUGUACUCAGCUUUAGUAGUAGACAAAGCAACUGUAGUUUGCAAAGUAGCUUUCCAACUGAUUGUGCAACCUCCAAUUGUAAAGACAUACCCUAUGAGAGAUCUUCUUUUAUCAAGGUCUCCAGCAAAAUCAGAAUCAACAUAUGUAAUGACUCCAUCCCUAGUUCUUCCAAACUAUAAGCAAACAUUAGUAGUACCUCAUAAGUAUAUGAAAAUCCACUAAACUAUUUUCCAGUAUUCUUUAUUGGGAUUCGCCAUGUAUCUACUAAUUGCACUAACUAUACAUGACAAAUCUGGACAUGAGCAAACCAUAGCAUACAUGAGAGAUCCCAUUGCACUAGAAUACUGAUUGCAAAGACAAAACCGAUGAAAGUCUAAAGUGGGUUGCUAAUAGGGUCCUAAUAGGCUUGGCAUUCUGCAUAUUGAACAUGCAAAGAACUUUUUCAAUGUACCAUUUCUAACUUAGGUACAAUUUACAUGCUUUUCUAUCUCUGAGAAUCUCCAUCUCAAGUAUCUUCUUUACUGCUCCCAAACCCUUUAUCUCAAAUUCUUUAUUAAGUUGGGCUUUGACCUUUCUUAUCUCUUAUUUAUCUUUGGCUGCUAUCAACAUGUCAUCAACAUAGAAGAGUAGAUACACAAAAGAACCAUCACUGUUUUUCUUAAAAUAAAAACAACUGUCAAAGUUGCUUCUUUUGAAAUCAUGAGGAGUCAUAAAAAAAUCGAACCUCUUGUACCACUGCCUUGGUGACUGUUUCAAGCCAUAAAUGGACUUUUUCAACAAGCAAACAUAGUCAUCCUUUUCUGAUACAGUAAAAUCUUCUGGUUAUUGCAUGUAAAUAUCUUCCUCAGAUUCCCCAUGCAAGAACGUUGUAUUUACAUCUAACUACUCAAGCUCCAAAUCAUACAUGGCCACAAUACCAAAUAAGGCUCGAAUCGAAGUAUGUUUCACAACUGGAGAAAACAUAUCUAUGAAGUAUACACUUGAAAUCUGACUAUAACCUUUUGCAAUCAGCCUUGCUUUAUACAUGGGUUCUUCAACUUCAGAGUUCCUUAUUUCUUUUUGAACACCCAUUUACAACGAACAACCUUUUUACCUUUAGGAAAUCUUACUAGAUCCCACGUUCUAUUCUUAUAGAGCGAUUCCACCUCUUCUAGCGUGGCAAUCAUCCAUUUUCUUAAAUCUUCACAAUUAAUUGCCUCAGAAUAAGUAGAUGGCUUUUGAUUUGCAUCUAUAUCUUUAGCCACAUUUAAAGCAUAAGCAACUAGGUCGACCUCAACGUACCUCUUUGGAGGUUUAAUUUCUCUUCUAGGUUUAUUCUUGGUAGUAGAAUAUUGUGGUGAAGAACAACUCUACUCUAAGUUUUUAUACUAACUUAAGUGUUGGAUCACCAGCACCCCUAUGGCGCAGCGAAAAAAAUUAAAAUCGGCGACCCUAACCAUGGAUCCAUGUGUGAAGAACGAAUCGGGGUGAAAAGAUUACGAAAUUACCUAAUAUUUCGAUUAAGAAGAUAGUAACUUCUCGACAAUGUGUAGUCUGAUUUACAGUCAAACCAAGCCGCAAUCUAUCGAGACUCCAACCUCUACGUAAUCCACCCAGUUGACUACGAACGGAAGAAAAUCCCCAAAACAGUUUUGAGAGUUAUAUUUUUUUACGGCUGCUAGACCUUAAAAUAAUGAAAAACGGGAUUCUAAUAUAUCUCUUUUAUUUUUAGGGUUUUUAGGAAUUAAAUAAAUAUAAUAAUAUUUUAAACCGAAAAUUUUAAUUACAUUAAUUAUAAUAUAAUUUCGGUAAACCAUAUAUUUAUUUAAAUUCAUAUGCUAAUCAAAUUCAUGUCCUCAUUAUGCGUACAACAACCUUGUACAUAAUGUGUUGGAAAUUUGAUUACUGAAUUAAAUUAAUUCUAUAAUUAAUUUAAUUCAAGUGACACCCAAAAAUAAAACCAACUAUGGUUUAUUCCGUUCAUUUCAACUAUAGUGUGUGACCUUGUAGGUUCUUGUAACGUUAGCAGUAAUACUAGAACGAUUCCAAUGUUACAAACAAUGAGUGGCAUCUAGCAAUGCAUCAUUCUACCUAAGUCACAAGAGAUCAUGAUUCGACAUAACCUUUUAUGAUUAACCUUUUAUGCAAUAAUCCUUAAGUCCUUUAUCUCUGGAUUGGACACAAGUCAUGGAAUAGUCACACUUGUAUAGUCCAUUCCAUGUUCCUUGAUAUCUUAAGCAGACUACGAUAUACACAUAAGUAUGACAUCUCAUAUCAACUUAUUUGAGCAUGGCCAUGCAUUUCUAGUCUCACUUAAUCAAGUGGCCUAAGAUAUUACUCCCAUUAUGUAGGAGGGACUUAUUCUAUAUCGACCAACCAUAUCCCUCUACAUCGAUUGUGAUAUAUCCAACAUCAGCCUUUAUAGAACAACCAGUUACGGUGUACGUUUAACUGUAUCAAAAUAUAUUACUCACGAUGUUGGGAUUAUGAUGAUCUCAAGUCUGAGGAUCAUAUACAUAUUAAUCACUAUGAGUAAUGUCGUGACAAUUACAUAAUAAUCCAAGAGANNNNNNNNNNNNNNNNNNNNNNNNNNNNNNNNNNNNNNNNNNNNNNNNNNNNNNNNNNNNNNNNNNNNNNNNNNNNNNNNNNNNNNNNNNNNNNNNNNNNAGUCCAAUAUGUUGUUCUCUAACACACAUAUUCAUGCAUCGAUUCUGACAUUCCAUAUCAAUGACAACUCUUUAUCAUCAAUCAACUACAUGUUAGUCUUAAUGCAUUAUCCUUGUCCUAUCCAACAAUAAUACUUGACUAAGGAUCUUUUAAGAAUAAUCAUAUUAUUCUUAGGACAUUAUUAUAAAACAGCUUAUUUAUACACACAGAAAAGAAACUGAAAUAAUAAUGGUAACGCCUUAUAUUAAUAAACAUGAUAAAUCAAGUAUGUUAUUACAAUCAUCUCAUGAUUGGUCUUUGGGCAUACUCUAACAUUAAGAAGUAGACUCUGUUAUAGAUCCUGGAUCAAUCUGAAGCUCCACCUGUUUUUCCUGGUUAUUAUUGGAAGAGUUUUUAAGAGAUAAGUUAGGUAGCAUAGCAGUUUCAUAAAAAAAUAAUAUCUCUGCUAAUCACAACUUUUCUAUUUUCAGGACACAAUAAUUUAUAUCCUUUAACACCAGCCUUAUAACCAAGAAAAAACACAUUUAAUGGAUCUAGGUUCUAAUUUCCCACUAUCAACAUGAGCAUACACAGGACACCCAAAAAUUCUCAAAUUAGAAUAAUCAGUAGGAUUACCAGACCAUACAUUUUGUGGAGUCUUUUUCUCAAUGGCAACGAACAGAGACUGGUUAAUCGAAAAACAUGCAGUACAGGCCACUUCAGCCCAAAAUGACUUCGGUAAACAAGCAUUCGAUAACAUACAUCAAACUUUUUCCAUGAUUAUUCUAUUCAUCCAUUGUGCAAUGCCGUUUUGCUGUGGAGUAUGACGAACUGUCAAGAGUCGCAUGAUUCCUUUUGAUUUGCGCAAUUUAAUAAACUCAUCAAAACAUAAUCCCAUGCCAUUAUCUAUACGGAGGUGUUUUAUCUAUUUUCCUGUCUAGUUAUUGAUCAUAGUUUUCCAAGCCUUAAACACAAAAAACACAUCACUUUUCUGCAAAAAUCAUCAAUGAUUGUUAUCAUAUAAUUAGCGUCACCCUUCGAAGGCACUCUGGAUGUUCCCCAAAGAUCAGAAUGAAUAUAAUCCAGCAUUCUCUUCAUGUUAUGGAUUCCUCUAGUGAAUCAAACUCUCUUUUGCUUCCUAAAAACGCAGUGCUCACAAAACUUUAGUUUGCUAAUGCCUUGUCCAUCAAAAAGUCUUCUUUUGCUUAAUUCUACCAUGCUAUUCUCACUCAUAUGCCCUAGACAUAUAUGUCAAAGUCUAGUAACAUAAUCAUCUAACAAGGAAGAGGAAGCGACGGCUGCAUCACCAGUAACAGUAAAACCUUGCAAAACAUAUAACUUGGCAAUCUUUCUCUGCCCUUUCAUCACAAUGAGGGAAUCCUUACUAAUCUUUAGAACUCCACUUUCAGCUGUGCACUUGUGCCCUUUUGAAUCAAGAGUACUCAACAAAAUCAAAUUCCUCUUCAAUCAUGGUAAAUGUCAUAUUCCACUAAGUGUUCUGAUGACUCUAUCGAACAUUUUAAUUUUGAUCGUGUCAAUACCUGUGAUUUUACAUGAAGCAUUAUUUCUCAUCAAAACAACACUUUCAGACACAAUUUCAUAGGUUGUAGACCAAUCUCGAUUUGGACUCAUAUGGAACGUACAAUCAGAAUCGGGGAUCCCCUCCUCGCUCACUUUAAAUUUGUUGGCAAAAAUAACUAGAAGUUCACCAUCACUGUAGUUUUCUGCUACAUCAGCUUCACCGGAUUGUUCUGGUUGUUUUCCCUUUUGAUUCACAAUCUCCCUUUUGAUCUUGUUUUACAACUUAUAGCACUUAGAUUUAAUGUGCCCUUUCAUCUUGCAAAAGUCACAGGUUUUACCUUUGUUUGAAGAUCUUGAUCUACCCUUAAAUUUGCUGCUAGGAUUUCGCUCUUAUGUCCUCUAACGAUUAUCAUCAGUAUUUUGUUCUUGUCUACCACGAACAGUGAGACCCUUUCCCUGAGAGUCGGAUCCAACUACAGGAUGUUUCAUCUUGUCAUACGAGGCUAAAGGAGCAUAGACUUCAUCAACUGUGAUAGAUUCACAACUAUACAAAAUCGUAUCUCUAAAGGUUGAAUAAGACGGGGUAACGAAUAAAGUAGAAUUAAACCUAAAUCUUCUUUGUCAUACUAAACCUCCAUGGCCUCUAGGUCAGAGAGAAUUUUUUUAAACACAGUUAAGUGUUCGUGUACAGACGCACCUUCCUCCAAAUGAUAAGCAUAAAGACGCUGGUUAUAUGCAACUUGCUAGUUAAGGUUUUCGACAUGUAUAAUUGUUGCAACUUUGCCCGUAAUGCACCGACGAUCUUCUCAUUCAUCACGCCCUGUAGAAUUUCAUUUGACAAAUGGAGAUGUAAUUGUGUUAAAACCUUUCGAUCUUUACGUUUCUUCUCCUCCUCUGUCAAUGUCGAAGGCAUCUUAUCUACCCCUAGCAAGGCAUCCUCUAACUCCAUUUGCGCAAGAACUGGCUGCAUCUUUAUCUGCCAUAGUGCGAACCAGGUGUUGUGAUCUAGUAGUGGAAUAUCAUACUUCAAUGUCGCCAUUACCAUGAUCGAGACAAACAACCCGAAAAGCUCUGAUACCAGUUUGUAAAAGUUGAACGUCGACAAUGACAAUAUAAAACAAUCACAAAUCAAAAGAAAGAAAAAUAAGAGAACACAGAUUUUACGCGGAAACCCUUUCGAGAAAAAAACCACGAGUAGAGGAGAAGAAAAUUCACUAAUGUCAAAUUCGAAUGAUACAAGAGAAAUUUAGACUAUAUCUAUUUAUAGGUUGAAAAACCUUAUUUUAAUCAAUGUCAAAUAGAUGAAGUGUAGUAAGGUUGAAAAACCUUUUUCUAAUUAAUGUAAAAUAAAAGAAGUAUAAUUCUAUAUGGAUUUUACUUUUAUUUUAAUUUACCACUGUAUUUUAUUUUAACAAGGAUUCGAACCACUCAACUCUAUAUAUAUUUAAAAUCAUUCAAAUUUGAAAAAAUAAAUUAAAAUUAAAAAUAUUUUGUUGAAAAUCUGAAAAUUAUUUUUAAAAAGUCCCCCUCAUCUUCUUCAUCUAAAAGAAUGAAGAUUUUCACUGUCAUUUUUUUAUUUACUUAAAACUCUCAGAUCGUAAAAGAUUACUUUUUGUGCAUCCAAAUGAAAAACCCUCAACCAUCCCUUGUAGAAAAGAGAAGACUUGAAGCAAAUGGCACAAAUUCGAUCCGUUUGCGCUUUAAUUUCUAGCGAAAAGUUGGCUAUGUAACAUCAUCAAAACCAACCCUAAUAAAAUUUCUAACAUAGACAUAUUUUUUUAUUUAACUGCGAUUUGUUAUUUAGAAAAUCAUGGUUAUAAUAAAAUUUUAAAAUCAAUUAAAAUUCAUUAAAAUAAUUUUUUAUCUACGAAAUCAAAAUCUAAAUUAGAAAUUAACUGUUAUGCAUGAAGAAGCUUAAUACUAUUUUUGGUCUUUGUACUAUAGUGAAAUUCUUAUUAUGGCCUUUUAUUAUUUUUUGGUCAGAUUGUUUUCUCUAUUUCCAUUUCGUCACUAAGUUCGCCCUUUUAGCAAGUUUCAUUAAAAAUAUUAAAUCCACGAAUGACUUGCUGUGCCACAUUUAAAAAAAUUAAAAAUUUUACUUAAAAAAUUAAAAAUCCAAAAUAUCUCAAAAAUAACAAAAAUUUGAAAACAUAGAAUUUUUUUUUAAAAUAUCCUAAUCUACUUUUGAAAAUUAUAAAAAUUAUUUUUUUACAAAAAAAUUAUUUAAAAAAAUAAGAACUCAUUUAAAUUCCACAAAAAUCAUAAUUUUUUUAAAAGAGUCCCAAAAAUCUUAAAACACAAAAAAAUUAUAAGAUCUUAAUCUAUUUCAAAUUCACUUAAAAUUUAAAAAAUAUAAAAAAACUAAAAUAAAUCAUUAAAAUUCCCCAAAAAAACAUAAUUUUUUUUAAAUCCAGAAAAAUCUUAAAAUUCUGAAAUUUUAAAAAAAAUCAAAAUAUUAAUCUAUUUCAAAUUCACUUAAAAUUUUAAAAAUAUAAAAAACUAAAAAAUAUUAAAAUUCCAAAAAUAUAUAUAUUAAAAAAACACCCCCAAAAAAUCUUAUAACUUUGAAAAUUAUAAAAUAAACUUUUAAAAAAUCUUAAUCUAUUUUUGAAAAUUAUAAAAAAGAAAACCUAAACUUAUAAGUAUGCAGAACUUCAAGAAAAUAAAAAAAUCAUAAAAAUAUAAAAAAUGUUUUUCUUUUUUGAAUUUAGGGUUUUAUAAAAAUAUAGAAUUUUAUGAAAAAUUUUAAGAAUUUUAUGGUAAUUUUUACUUAGGAUUUCCAAAAAAAAAAAAAAUCCCAUAAAUUUCUUCUAAAUUUUAAUAAAAUUCCAAAAUUUUAUAAAAACCUAAAAUUUUCUACAAACCUAAAAUUCCAAAAAGAAACUCAUUUUUUUUAACUUUUUUUCAAAGUUUCGCAUGCUUAUACUUUUUUUUUUCAAAAAAUAUAGUUUUGAAAAAUAUAUUAAGAUUUUUUUAGUUUUUUUAUUACUUUUCUAUGUUUUUAUAAAAGAACCAAAGUGAGAAUUUCAGAUAUUAAGCCAAAAGAUAUUACCUUUUAUUUGAGUUUAUUUAGAGUGAGAUUUCACCGUAUGCAAACAAAAGAGAAUUACAAUACAAAGCAGAUCCUCUCUUUUCCUCCUUUCUUUUUCCGUAGUUUUCUUCUUCUUCUUCUUCUUCUUCUUCUUCCUCUCUUGUAAACUUCUUUUCUUUCUCCUUUACAUGCUUCACUGUUCUCUUCACCUCUCUCUUUUUUCUUCUUACCUUUUUUUGCUUUUCCAUGCAAAAUGAGGCAGGAGGCCAUGCCACCCUUAAAUGUUAAUAACACUGACAAAUAACAUAAUAAUCUAAACUAAAAAAUUAAUAGUCAAAAUCCAAAAUAAAAUCGAGCUAUGAAAGUGUAGCAACAUUCAACUUAGAUUUUUCAAAUUAAACCUAACCCUAGAAUUCAGAUUUAUUGAAAGUGACUUUAAAAUUAAGUUUAGCCCGGAUAAAAAUAAUACCUAUAAUAUAAAUAAUAUUUUUUAAUUAUUUUUUAAUCAAAUUGAUGUUUGAUUAAUGGGUGAUACCGAUACAAAAAAUUUAAAUAGAAACAUAAAUUCUAAUUUAAAUGUUUUAAAAGAAAAUACUAAUUGUUCAAGACUGUAUUUAAUUCAGUUCGUUUUUCUUCGAUUUGUCCUUCUAUUAGAUGAAAAAAAAACUAAUAAAACGACUCGUAAAUUAAUACAUAUUAAUAUUUUUAUUUUUAUCGUGUUAUUGAAAACUAUGGGAUAUUUUACUUUUGAAUUUCAUAUAAAUAUUAAAUGUGCAUAUAAACUCUUCAAGGAUAAUUUAAUUAUUAUUUAAUAAGAAAAUUUUAAGGUAAUAAAAAUUGUAUGUGAGAGAACCCGAUGUGAUGGCUCGAGCUGAUGUGAGUUUCUUUAUUGGCCUAAUAAUAAAUUUAGUCUUCUAAUAUUUACACGUUCUACCCAAGUUUGGAAGUUACUGAUGAUGAUAUGUCCAAGUAAAAAAAAAGGCGAAAAAAAACAAAUUUUCUAUGUUUUGAAAGAUUUCGCAUUUCAUUGUUUCCUCUAUUUGAAUAUUAAGUAUUUGUACAUUUUUUAAAUAAGAAAAACAUGGAAAUAAUUAUUUUGUAAUUGUUUAAAGAAUUGUUAAUUUAUUUAGAGGAAUUGAUUCUUAGAUUAUAUGAUAUUAAUCUAAAAUAUGACACUAAAAUAGUUGGAUUUAAGCCAACUUGAUUUUUUACCAUAUUCAAAAAGGCGAUAUUAAUUUAAAAAGAGCACAAUACAAAUAGUGUUAAAUACUCUUCUUGUUUAGUAUAUUUUGGAGGUACGUUAAAGAAUAUUUAAAAAAAUUUAAAUACUUUCCAAUUUUCUAUUGAAAUUUUUAGAAUUAGAACUAAACUGACAAAUUCUGUGAUGGCUAAAUUUAUUGAUUUUUUUUAGAAUUCGAACUAAAAUGACAAAUUUUGUAAACAUUUAGGGCUAAUUUUGUUGAUUUUGUUUUAGAUUUAGGAUCAAACUGAUAGAAUGUGUAAAUAUUGGAGGCUAAAUUUGUUAUUAGAUCAAUAAAAAGGGCUUACCGAGCUUUUCAUCACUCAUCUAACAACAACUAACGAGAGAGUGACUAAAAUAUUUAAUUUCAAAAAAUUGAGUGGCAAAAUGGAAAAAAAAAUCAAUAGUCAGGUGACCAAAUAGAACCGAAGGCAUAAUUGGUGACUAUUGUUGUAGUUUACCCUUUUAGUAAUUAAAAUUAAUUUCUUUCAAUAAGUUCAAAUAAUAGAAAAUAAUUAUUUGAUAAUUAAAUGAAGAACUACAUUGGUAGUCACUCAACUAUUAGUAUUUUUUUUUGUCAUGCAACUAUGAAACUUUACAAAAAUGGUCAAUAAUUAUUCAACUUUUUUCUAUUUGGUCAACCAACUACCGGCCAUUAAUUUAUACAUUGUGUCAAUUUAGUCUUGAUUCAAAAAAAAUUAACCCUCAACAUUUACACAUUGUGUCAUUUUUUUUUGCAGUUUUACUUUUAUUUGUGACAUUGAGGGUUAAUUUUAAAAGAAUGAGAAAAUAUGAAAAUUAUUAUCUUGGAUUUUGGGUGUUUUCAUUUUUGAUAUAUUUCCGAUUAAAUUUAGUUGAUAGAUUGUUUUUCUUAGCUUAUUAGGUGAAAGGGUCACAAAGAAAAACAAAGAAAAAAUACCAAAUUACAUCAUGUGUAAACACUGAGGGUCACAAUGUAUAAAUGUUGAGUGCUAAAGUUGCUAUUAUGCCAAUUUUAAAAGUUAUACGUCACCUUUUAUUCAAUCAUUCAACGACUAGUGAAAACGAAAAAACCAAAUAGUUGAGUGACCACUUCGUAACUUUUCAUAAUUGGGUGGCUAAAAAAAGAAAAGUACUAAUAGUUGGAUGACUUGAAAUGUAAUUUACCCUUAAAUAAAACAAUGGAUAAUUUGUGAUUGGUGUCCCAAAAUUAUAAAAAAGAAACUAUAUUUGCUAUAAGAAAGGUUAUAUCAACUAGAUAGACUAUAGUGGACAUUAAAUGACGUACCAUAAAAAAUAAAAAGAAAAGAACAAACAACUUCAAAACCUAUAUAUAUAUAUAUAUACAUAUAUAUAUAUAUAUAUUAUUUAAAGGUUGUAUUCUUUUGACUUAAAAAGAAUAAUUGAGGCUAAAGAGAUUGCAAUGAUUUAAGCAUGUUAUUCAUGACUAUAAUGUUUUGGAAAAAUAUAUAAUAUUAUACUUUUUGUAAAAUCAUAAGGAGCGUUAAUGAUUGACAAGUAUCUUAUAAGAAUAUAGUAAAUUUUUUUAAAAAAUACACAUUAUAGUUUUUUAAGACUGUUUGUGAAAUUAAAAAAAAUACACUACUAAUGUACAAAAUACGUAUUGUCGAAACCGUUUUUUGAAAACAAAAAUUUUAGUUUCGACUUAAAAAUAAAAACAAAAACUGGAGUCGCCACCGAUCAUUUAUGAAGGUGUGAUCGGCCCACCUUAAAAAUAAUUUUGGUCUGCGAAAUUCGAGAAAACAGGCUCGGGAGUCAGUUACGCACGAGGAAGGAUUAGCACCCUCGUAACGCCCAAAAUUGGUACCAAAUUGAUUUUUUUUAAUGCCUUGGUGUCGAAAAUUUGAAAAGAUUUUAAAAGGAAACUUUUUAUUUCAUGAAUGGAUUAAAAUAAAAAGACAUUCGUAUUUCAAAGAAAUAAAACACCACACCCAGUGAGUUAGGGCACAAUGUUUUUAAAUCUUCAAAAUACCCGAAUAUUGCCUUUUGCUUUUGAAAAUUCUUAUUUCGAGAAGAAAAUGUCAUGACCAGUAAGUUAGGACCCAACAUUUCGAAUUCCCGAGAAUAAGUUUUUAUUUAAAAUUUGAAUUUAUUGCAAAACAAAUAUUUGGCUUUCUAAACUCAUCGAAAAAUAAUCGCGAUCCAAUAAGUUAGGACACGAUCUUUCACGAGAAUCAUGAAUACCAAAUAUUUUGGAAUUUAUAAAAUAAGAUGAUUUAAAUACUUUGAGAAAACAUAUAUUUUCUUUAAAAGCAAGAUAAAAUGUUAAUAUACAACAUGAUACACAUAUUUUAAUUUAAAUUAUAAAUGUGCAUGUAUUUACAAAAUAUAUAUAAGUGUAAUACACAAGUAAAUUUGAAAAUAUGUGCAUGCGUAUGUUUAACACACAUACACAAAUAUACAUAAAAAACAUGCAUAGCAUAACUUAUAAUAAUCUCCAAAAAUAUGUACGUAUAUUUCAUAAAACAUGCAUAUGUACAAAAAAAUAGAAAAAAAAAAUGCAUAUGCCUUGUAAAAUAUGAGAGUACAUACAUAUAUAUAUAUAUAUAUACAUAUUUAUUUAUAAAAACUAUGUAAACAAAAUAUAUAUAAAAUAUGAGCGUAUAAGGACUUCAAAGGAGAUUGGAUUGGUUACUUCAGUCUGCUCCACUGCAACUUCAGGGAGAUAAGACUUGUAUAUUCGAUCUACUUCACCACCAGUAUGGGAAGACAAGAUCUGUUUUCUUCGAUCUACUUCACGCCAAUACAUGAGGACAAGAUCUGUUUUUUCAAUCGAUUCCACUGCCGACCGGGGAGGUAGAAUUACUGGCUUCAAUAUACUCCGCUGCAACCUCAGGGAGGUAAAAUCCGCCAUCUUCGAUCUGCUCCACUACUGCUUAGGGAGAUAAGAUCUGUAAUCUUCAAUUUGCUCAACUGCAAUGUCGGGGAAACCAGAUCCGCCGUCGUGGCUUCAAUCUAUUCCACCGCACCGUUAGAGAAGUAAGAUUUGCCGUUGUGGCUUCAAUCUUUUUAAUUGCAAUAUCAGGGAAACCAAAUCCGCCGUCGUAGCUUCAAUCUGUUCCACUGCACUGCUAAGGAAGUAAGAUCCGCCGUUGUGGCUUCAAUCUUUUAAAUUGUAAUAUCAGGGAAACUAGAUCCGCCGUCGUAGCUUCAAUCUGUUCCGCUGCACUGCUAAGGAAGUAAAAUCCGCCGUUGUGGCUUCAAUCUUUUUACUUUUCAACCCGCUCCAUUGUUACUCACGGAGACAAGGCUUUAUGAUUUCACCGAUCUGCUCUCUGUGGAACAUGACCUGUAUGACUCACUUUAUGAGCCUAAUUAUGCCUAAUGAUUAGGAUGUCAUGAUCAGAAUGAAUCAAAUGCUCCUAACUAGGCGUGUAUAAAUGACAUUUGAAUAUUAUGUCAUGAAAAAUGAAUAUUGAAUGUGUAAAGUCAUUAUUGCUCAUUAAGGCUUCCUUCGUGGCAACAACGCUUCGUCAAAACUUGAAAAAUUUAAAAUCUCGACUCUUGGCUCCUAGAUAUCUCCGACCUUUUAACCCAGUGAAGGUCUAAACAAUAGUCCUGUUUCAGGUUCCUGAGUUAUUUAAAGAUUUCUAGAGUAAUAUGAAAAACUUCCCUUGUGAAAGUUUUACUAGUCCAUUAAUCGUCAUUCUAAUGCAACAUGCUUGCGAAAAGAUCAUAACGAUAACAUAAACAAAAUUAGUCUGGGAGGAUAGCUCGCAAUGGAUUGUCAAUGAUAGAGGAAUUGUCUGGGGACAUUUAUAUUGAAAAAAAAUGUCAUAAUUUAACAAUGAAUUCAAUACAAAUACUAUGAACAUGUGCCCCAGAUAUCUCUGCUUGAAUUUCUCUAUACAGCUUUCGAAGACCCUUUUGAAUUCAACACGUGUUUAGGAAAUUCACAGUAUUUUGUUGAUGCCCCAAGAUGUCGUCUAUUCCUUUCUGUCGAUUUAGGUACAGCAAGACUACCACGUGACAACCAAAAUUUGAGCCGCCCUUUUUGGGUUUUCAACUCAAAUCCCCUUUGGUCUUAAGGUGCCCUUUGCGGGUUUUCACCUUAGCCUCUCCUUUCCUUUUCUUUUCUUUUCUUUUUUUUUUUUGGAAUCAAAGCGCCCUUUGCGGGUUUUCACCUUGGUUACUUCCCUUCUUCAAGUAAAGUACCUCUUCACCGAAUCUGAAUUUACCGGAUUAGGCAAGUUUUUCCCGUCCAUUUCAGCCAGGAUCAGGGCUCCUCCAGAAAAGGCCUUUUUUACAACAUAAGGACCCUCCCAAUUCGGCAUCCAUUUCCCCUUAAAAUCCUUUUGUAGAGGAAGAAUUUUUCUCAACACCAGGUCCCCCUCGUGAAAUUCUCUGGGUCGGACUUUCUUGUUGUAGGCUCGCAUCAUUCUUUUCUGGUAUAUCUGACCGUGCUGAAUAGCCUUUAGCCUCUUUCCCUCUAUCAAGUUCAACUGAUCGUAUCGAGAUUGAACCCAAUCCGCUUCAUCCAAUUGUAGCUCAGACAAAACCCGGAGAGAAGGGACUUCAACUUCGAUGGGCAACACUGCCUCCAUGCCAUAAACUAAGGAGAAAGGCGUUGCCUCGGUGGAGGUCCUGGUUGACGUUCAAUAAACAAGGAGGGCAAACGGUAAUUUCUCGUGCCAGUCCAUGUAAGUCUCAGUCAACUUCCCUACAAUCUUCUUUAUAUUUUUAUUGGUCGCUUCUACUGCACCAUUCAUUUUCGGGCGAUACGGCGACGAAUUGUGAUGUCUGAUCUUGAAUUGACUGCAGACCUCUGCUAUUGAGCUGUUGUUCAAAUUCAACGUAUUGUCGGAUAUGAUUCUUUCAGGCAUUCCAUACCGACAUAUGAUCUCUCUCUUCAAGAACUUACUGACUGAUGACUUUGUAACAUUAGCAUACGAAGCAGCUUCUACCCAUUUGGUGAAGUAGUUAAUAACCACGAAUAUGAAAUGAUGCCCAUUUGAAGCCUUUGGCGAUAUUGGCCCGAUAACAUCCAUACCCCACAUGGAGAAAGGCCAUGGAGAAGUCAUGACAUGAAGAGGUGAAGGAGGUGCAUGCAUUUUAUCACCAUAGAUUUGACAUUUAUGGAACUUCUUGGAAUAAUUGAUGCAAUCCCCUUCCAUGGUAGACCAGUAGUACCCGAAUCUCAUAAUCUGCCUAGCCAUUGUGAACCCGCUGGCAUGCGUUCCGCAGAUGCCCUCAUGGACUUCUUCUAGAAUUUUCUUUGCUUCUACGGCGUCCACACAUCUUAGCAGUACCUGAUCUUUUCCCCUCUUGUACAAGAUCUCCCCAUCUAAGACGUAGUCAAUGGCUAGUCUUCUCAGAGUUCUCUUUUCAUUCUCCGUUGUCUGGCCAAGAUACUCACGAUUUUUUACAUACCGUAGUAUAUCUUGAUACCAAGGACUAUCAUCGAUUUCCCCUUCUUCAAUAUUGUAACAAUGAGCCGGGUCUUCAUAGAUACUCAUUUGGAUUGGUUUCAUAUCCCCAUUUCUGUUCAGUUUGAUCAUGGAAGCUAAGGUAGCUAGUGCAUCAGCCAUCUGGUUCUCAUCUCGUGGGAGAUAGCAAAAAGUGAUGUCCUCAAACUCCUUAAUCAAUUCGAGGACCAACUUUCGGUAACUGAUUAAUUUGGGAUCUCUCGUUUCCCAUUCACCCCUGAGCUGAUAUAUCACCAAUGCUGAAUCUCCAUAGACCUCUAGCACUUUGAUUCCUCGCUCUAUAGCUGCACGAAUACCCAUGAUGCAUGCUUCAUAUUCUGCCAUGUUAUUUGUACAAUCAAAAUCCAAUUUACAAGUGAAAGGAUAAUGAUCACCAUUUGGGGACACCAGGACUGCCCCAAUUCCAUUGCCUACAGCGUUCGAGGCUCCAUCAAAGUUUAGCUUCCAACUGUGACCUUCUUGGGGACUUUCUUCAGUAGCGGCUACACACAUCAGGUCCUCAUUUAGGAAAUCAAAACUCAACAGCUCGUAGUCCUCCAGAGCUCUACUAGCUAGAAAGUCAGCAAUUGCACUCCCUUUCACAGCCUUUUGGUUCACAUAGACAACAUCAAAUUCAGACAAUAAAAUUUGCCAUCGGGCCAUUCUCCCAUUCAAAGCAGCUGACUCCAUCAUAUACUUUAACGGGUCUAACUUUGAGAUCAGCCAAGUCGUAUGGUAUAACAUGUACUGCCUUAAUCUUCGGGUUGUCCAAAUCAAGGCACAGCAUAAUUUCUCAAAUAGGCGAAUAUCUCAUUUCACAGUCAGUGAAUUUCUUGCUGAGAUAAUAUAUCGCUCUUUCUUUCCUCCCCGUUUCAUCAUGUUGACCUAACACACACCCCAUGGAAUUGUCAAAUACCGUUAGAUACAAUAUCAGAGGCCUAUCCGGGUUAGGUGGUGACAGCACUGGAGUAUUAGACAAAUACUGUUUCACUUUGUUGAAAGCUUCCUCGCAUUCCUCAUCCCAAGUACCAGGAUUAUGUUUCUUCAGAAGACGAAAUAUAGGGUCACAUUUCUCAGUCAGUUGUGAAAUAAACCUAGCGAUGUAAUUCAGUCUUCCUAGGAAACCUCGAACUUCUUUCUGAAUGCGAGGUGAAGGUAAAUCUCGUAUUGCCUUGACUUUGUCUGGGUCAAUCUCGAUUCCCUUUUCACUGACUACAAAGCCUAGCAACUUUCCUGACCUGGCCCCAAAAGUGCACUUCGCUGGAUUAAGCUUGAGUUAGAACUUUCUCAAUCUUAAGAAUAACUUUCUCAAGACCCACACAUGUUCGCCCUCUGUUCUAGAUUUCGCGAUCAUAUCAUCAACAUAAACCUCGAUUUCCCUGUGCAUCAUGUCAUGGAACAAGGCUACCAUGGCUCUUUGGUAUGUCGCUCCUGCAUUCUUCAAUCCAAACGGCAUCACUUUGUAACAGAACGUCCCCCAUAACGUAAUGAAUGUAGUCUUCCUCAUGUCUUCAGGAUGCAUCUUUAUCUGAUUGUACCCAGAAAAACCAUCCAUGAAGGAAAACAGUGAAAAGCCCGCAGUAUUGUCUACCAAUGUGUCAAUGUGAGGCAAUGGGAAAUUAUCCUUUGGACUAGCCUUGUUCAAAUCCCGAUAAUCCACACACAUUCGUACUUUUCCAUCNNNNNNNNNNNNNNNNNNNNNNNNNNNNNNNNNNNNNNNNNNNNNNNNNNNNNNNNNNNNNNNNNNNNNNNNNNNNNNNNNNNNNNNNNNNNNNNNNNNNCUUGCAGAAACCCGGCAUCAAACUGCUUUUGGACCUCCUCCUUUUAUCUUCAACACGAUAUCAGGCCUCAUCCUUCUGAGUUUUUGCUGCACUGGCUUGCAAUCUUCUCUUAUAGGGAGACGAUGGACUACCAUGUCGGUACUCAACCCCGGCAUAUCCUGGUAUGACCAUGCAAACACGUCUUUGAACUCUCGGAGUAAUUCAAUGAGGUCCUGCCUUGUCCUUUCAGAGAUAACCGAUCUGAUCUUCACCUCUUUACCCUCCUCUAAGCUCACGACUUCUAUUGAUUCCCUGUGAGGUAGGAUUUAUUUCUCGGCCCUUUCUACCAUCUUUGACAAGUCAGGAGACAAACCACAGUCUUCGUUGUCUUCAAAAUUAUGCGAUCCCUCUAAACACAUGUUUCGUUCAAAAGGAGACUCUAAAUUUGUAAGAGUGACAUUCGCAUCAUUGAUAUCAUGGGACCUGUUAUAAGUAUGAAAAACAAUAUGGAUUCAGGAAUUUGUUUGGUGCAAUAUGGUCAUGAAUGAAAUGCAAGUGUAGUUUAAGAGAAACUUAAAAUAACUGCUCUUAUGGGAAGAAAGAUUUGCUCCAAAAAUGAUUGCAAACAUGAACUUUAUUAAAAUAACGAUUUUCUGGACAUGAGCCUAUUUCACAAAGGAAUCCUUAUCACUUCUAGGCUAAAAGGCAAUAAGGGUGUUCUGGACAUUACUCUGGGGAAAUCCUAAAAACUACAGGUAUUUCUUCUGCAGUCCAGUUGUUUAGCUCCCUUUCCGACUCGUAAGGACGAAUAUCUGGCAAAGCUCUUCCUCGCGUCACUUCUUCAUACACAACAUGAAUACUCUCUAGCUCCAUGUUAAUACUUCUGACCCCUAGCAUUCUUUGAUAGGUGAAUCCUCCCGGUACAAAAGUCUUGGAUAGGUGAGGAAAGGUCAUGGGUUCCCAUUUGACUUCAUCACCUGUCAAGCGAGCCCUUCUCCGCACUCGCUUAUUUUCCUGCUCUAUCCUCUUCUGCCUAGCAUCUGGCUUGUAUUCUAAGCCAAAACGAUCCUGCUUGUCUUUCAACACUAGAGCCUCAACUCGGCCCUGAAGAUAUCUCCCCAAUCCUCUUCUCGGUAAUGCUCCCUUUCCAACAGUCAACUGCAGACCCAUCUCUGUGGUCCUGGAUAUUCUCGGCAUCGGGAUCUUGUUUCCCUCACGGAUGAAUGUUGCAUUUACAAACUCCAAGGAACGAAAAGAGCAUUCGAUUGGAUCAUCGCUCGUUUCUAGAUAAGUCGCAUCGUUGGUCACAGAUGCAAUGAUAUCUUCUUCAGCAUCUAUCGUCACAACCCUGCCUUCUGACACCAGCUUCAGUUUUUGAUGUAACGAUGACGGUACCGCACCUGCUGAAUGAAUCCAUGGCCUUCCUAAUAGGCAACUGUAAGAAGGCUUGAUGUCCAUAACUAAGAAGUCCACCUCAUAAAUAGUUGGGCCAAUUAACAAGAGAAUGUCAACUCUUCCCAUGACCCUCCUCUCAGUACCAUCGAAUGCUCGAACCACGUUCUGACACGACUUCAUAUGCGAACUAUCCACAGGUAGCCUGUUGAGCGUGGAUAGGGGAAAUACAUUUAAUGCCGAUCCAUUGUCUACCAGAACCCCCGGUAAUAUGCACCCUUUACACCUUGCAAUGAUGUGUAAAGCUCUAGUGGAUCCCAUACCCCCAGGUGGUAUUUCGUCAUCGCUGAAAGAGAUGAAGUUAUCAGCGCUUAUAUUACCGACCAGUCGAUCCAACUUGUUAAUAGAGAUAUCAUCGGCCACAUAAGUUUCAUUUAGCACCUUCAGUAGUGCAUUCUGAUGUCCCUCCGAGUUCAGGAGUAAAGCUAGCACAGAUAUGCGAGCUGGUUGUUUGUGCAGCUGUUCCACAACGCUGUACUCGCUAUGUUUUAUGAACUUCAAGAACUCUCUAGCUUCCUCCUCCUUGAUUGGUUCAUUGACCACCAAUUCAGGUUCGACCGUCUUCUUCUUCUUUCCAAUCAGAGUUUCUUCUCUUAUUGGCUCUACUCGAGCCUUCACCUGUUCGUUAUACCCUCCUUCAUCAUGGUCCUCCUUCCCUGGGAUUGUCACAUUACAAUUGUAAUGCCAAGGAACCCUCCUGUUAUCCUUGUAAGUAAACGCAGUCGGUUUUUGAAUGAUAACCCUUGGUGCUACUCGUGCUCCAGCCUCACUAUUCUUAGGUUGUGAGAUGAUGACCACAGGAUGGUUAACCUUUGGAACUCCCAAUGCCAACUCUGACGUACAUACAUGACUCUCUUUCUGAAUUCCUUCCCAAAAUUCCAUCUCUUUAUUAUCUAUCAUACCCUGUACCACGGCUCUGAACUCCGUACACUCCUGGAUUUCAUGCCCCAUUUCACAGUGGAACUCACAGUAGUUCCUCCUCUUCUCACAGCUUUCUUCUGAAGGAAUUAGCCCCCUUUUCACCAUCUCUUUCCAGACCCAUCUCAAAGGAGUCUUCACGUCCGCAAUGUCUACCUUAAUUCUCAUGUCUUCGUCCAUCAUAUUUACCCCACCAUCAGUGUGAUUUGGUAAUGGGUUCUCUGCCUUGGUGGCUUCAUCAAAUUUAACGACACCCAUACCAAUGAGCCUUUCAACCAGCUUCUUGAAGGCCGUACAGUUUUCUAUGGAGUGCCCCGUGAUUCCCGCAUGAUAGUCGCACUGUGCAUUUGCGUCGUACCAUUUGGGGGACGGGGGCUGUAAGGGCUUCAGAUAGAAAGGGGAAACUACAUGUGCGUCGAAUAAGUUUCGGUAUAAUUCCCUGUACGACAUGGGAAUUGGCGUGAAUUGGGGCCUCUCCGUAUUUCGCCUUGUACCGACCUUCUGUCUCGACAAGCUUUGUUGAUUGGCAGCCGUCUUUCCUGGCUGACUCACUGUUACUGACUUCGAGUAACCCUUGUUGUACAUGCUCACGUUGUUCACCUCGUUUUCCUUCCUUUUCGAAGCUGAUCUUCUGUUACUCUCUCCAGCAUCGAUCUUCCCACUCCUGAUGGUGUUCUCAAUCAUCUCGCCAUUCAUGACUAUGUCAGGAAAGCUUUUUGUGGCACUUCCUAACAUAUGUGUAAUGAACGGUGCCUUCAGGGUGUUAAUGAACAACAUGGUCAUUUCCUUUUCCAAGAGCGGUGGUUGAACUUGGACCGCGACCUCCCUCCAUCUCUGUGCGUACUGCCUAAAGCUUUCGCUCGGCUUCUUCUCCAUGUUUUGAAGGGUGAUCUUAUCAGGAGUCAUGUCUGUCACAUGACUAUAUUGUUUCAUGAAUGCUUGCGCCAAGUCCCUCCAUGAACCAAUCGUAGCUCGACUCAACUGAUUGUACCACUUGGAUGCUGCCCCUGCAAGGCUGUCUUGGAAGUAAUGUAUUAAUAGCUGGUCAUUACUAACGUAUCCAGCCAUUCGCCUGCAGAACAUGGUGAUAUGAGCCUCUGGGCAAGUCGUCCCAUUGUACUUCUCGAAUUCAGGCAUCUUAAACUUAUGAGGGAGAACAAGAUCCCGCACUAAACUCAGCUCUUUUGCGUCAAUGCCUCGAUAGCUUUCAGUAACUUCCAUCGCCUUGAACUUCUCCUCAAGCCACUUGCAUCUCUCUUCCAACUGUCUCGGUAACUCCUCCUUCACUCUUUCCUUCUCAACUACUUCAUCAAAGUCAGGAAUGGCAGAGUUAAUAGGAUUAUUUUCGGGAUUAAAACACGGCCCAGUUUGGAGGUUCGAAACACCAGCUUGAAAUUGCUGAGGCAUGAUUGUGACAGUAGAUUUGCGCGGGUAUUCAUCUUGAGUUCGCUCAUGUGGAGGGGUGAAACCUGGAGGAUAGAAAAGUUCAUCAUCAUUUCCCUCAUCGACAUCUGCCAUGGGGCCCUUUCCUUUGUCACCUCCCUUAGUUAUCAGUCGGGUUAACUUUGCCACUAUAUCCUCUUGAGAUUCCCGCAUCUUCUCAGACAUUUCUUGUUUCAUCUUGUCUAACCGCUCCUGCAUUUGUAGCUGAAUCCAGUCUUGCAUCUCCUUCUGGUACUGUUCGAGCUUUUCUAAUCUCUGAUCCAUAUCUCUUGUCUUUGUUCGAGUGCCGUAUCGGUGUUGGAUUGGUUGGUUGGUUUCCAGGUUAACUGAGCAAUAAUUUUAAUUAAUUAGGAUCAAUUCAAAGUUUUGAAUGCAUAUGAUGCGAUGCAUGAGAUGAAUGCAAGAAAGGCGUUAAUUAUGAUUCAAUUCCACUUGGAAAACUUUAUUAGAAAACAAAUCUCUUUACAUAGAAUAGACUACAAAUACGACUUCGCCCUAAUACUUAAGACCUUGAUUUUUUGAAGCAACGAGGCUAACUCCCGUCCCCGGUCUGACUCCAAUUCAUACUUUACGCUCAACGUGUCAGCUUGUACUGCCAGAGUUUGUAAGUGAUCAGCUACUUCUCGAAUCUGAACCAAGGCUUGUCCCAUAACACGAUCCCUGCUUCUGACCUAAUUCUGGAGAUAGUGAAGCUGUUCGCUUUGAUGAUCUUUGUUUGCCUCCAAAUACUCAAUCCUGGCUUCACAGUUCUGCAAUGCCACCUCUAGUUCUUCUAUAGUUUUCUUCAUUUGCUCGAUUCUACUUAAACUUGCUUGCAGUUCCACCACUGAAUUACGAUUUCGGUAUUGAUGAACAAUCUUCUCAAGUUCGGCCACUCUAGCCCUUAGUUUAUCCCUUUCAUCUUGAUUUUCUGACAAACUCUUCUCAAGCGAUCUAUUUUGCAUCUGGGCUUCUUGGAAUCUUUCUUCCCAUCUGCCAGCCUUGGCUUUUUCUUCUUGAACCUCUUGACGCCACUGCUCUGAGGUUUUUCCCAACCCAGCAGUUCUUACUGACAGACGUAGUCUCUUAUAAUCCGUCUUCAAGCUGUUCAAAUCUUCCUCGACUUUGCGCUUCCCUUUUCUCAGGCCUUCGGUUUCCUGCAUUUGAACAUCUAUGUCCAACUUUAAAUUCACCUUUUCCUCCUCCAUUUUCUCUAUUUUCUUCUCUAAUUCUGCAUUCCUUCUUUCGAGGUCUUAAUUUAUGAUUUCCAGCUCAGAAGGGACGACGCACAAAUGCUCCUCUAUCGACUGACUAUUUUCUGAACUUGGCCCGGGAAUGUUGUCAUUAAUCCUCCUAACACGCCAUUCGUUAUAUUCAGAAGUUGUCAUUGGACCCACGGCUAAUCUCUUCAUUCGGCGAGUCUGAUUCCACGCAUUGGCCAUCUCACGAGCCUUCCUUUUGUAGCCAUCAUCCUUAUAUGAGAAUUCACACUCAGCUAGUCCUUGAGUGGCAGGCACAAACUGUCUUGACCUGUACUGUCUUAACACUAGCAAUGGGGCAUAACCAACAGCUCCCCAAAUCCCGAGCAACGGAACCCAGUCGAAAUCGCCACACCUAUAUAGGAUCUCAUCUGGAAGCAACCACGGAGCUCUCCACUCGAUAUCUUCUUCUUGCAGAUUCUGAAAGAUUGCCAUCCAUUUCUCCUCUGUAAUAUCAUCUCUCCUUGAUGCAGCCACUAUCUCUUUCAACGGUGAAUAACUUUCAGAGAAGACCUGAUAUGAAACCUUAUCAACCUUCCAAAAGUGGCUAUGGAACCACCCAAGUAAUAACUGCGCACAUCUAAAAAAUCUGCCCUCUCCCGUUCUUCGGCAUGCAUUUAAUGACCUAAAGGUUUCUGCCAAAAUCACCGGAACUGGCGUAACUCCCUUGUCAAGCCGGUCGAAUAAAUCAGUGACCGCCUAAUCAACAUGUCCCAAAAUCUUAGGAAACAAGAUUAGACCAUAUAUACUUAGAGCAAAGACGUCCACUUUCUUCCUCGCAUCUGGGUGUGCUAAAAUGAGGUCCUUCAAGUUUUUCCAAGGAAUACACCUACUAUCCCCUUUUUGCUUAAUCCGAGCUGUAACCCACUACUCAUUUAUCCCUGUUAUACUCAUCAACUUCCUCAAGAAGGUUGGUACAUUCACCGCUUUCGAAUAAAUUCUAUCCACCUGUACCUUCGAACACCGAAGUAAAGCCGUGUACUCCUCUAUUGUAGGCACUAGGUCAACCUUUCCGAAUGUGAAGCAACUGUACGCCGGAUUCCAAAACUGGGCAAGAGCUCGAAACAGACGGUUGUCUACCUUCAUGUCAAGUAAAUAAGGUAAAUCCCCAUAAUUUGAAUAGAAUAGCUGUCUAACCUCAUUAUCCCAUUGAUCCCAAAUCUCCUUCAAUUCCUGCAAGUUGUUCUGAGCUACGCUAACACGAGUGAAGUCCCAUAACUCUGAUACGUAUCCCACGGCCAAACUAUCACCUUUUUCAUGCUGUAUCUUCUCAGACCAAGUCCGGACAGCCGUAUUGUCUUCCACUCUAUCAAGAAACCCAUUUCCCAUGAUAAACUUUCUAUAUGGCAACCGAAUAUGAACCAACGCCUUUAUAAUGAAAUGUCAUGCAAUUAUGAUGUCAUGCAAUCAAAACAAAAGAAACCCAAGUUAGUAUCACAUAUAAAAAUAUAAUCCAAACAAGAACACUUAUUUAGGAAUCUACUAGGGUUCAGUAUAGUUCUCCCUAGGGCAAGUUCCUAAAGCUCACUAUAUGAGGUUUAGUUUCUAGAGUAAGGGUACCCGAACCAACAGAUUCCUCGAUCCUCACCCAUUAUAGGCUCAUACAGAUCGAGUUCAGUUCAGGGGGACACAUUUCCCUAUGGCUGCACGGAGAUGAAAAUCUCACGAAGACAUAGGUACGAAUGUAUCCCGGAAGCAGUCCACUAUCCUGCACGGAGGUGAAAACCUCACGAAGGACUAGUUUCUCGCUCCCACUUAAGGGUAAAAUGCAAAAUGCAAAUGCAAAGUUGCCAAAGUUCCAUGAUAAAAUAUCAAUGAGUGCAAAGGGAAAAUUUUUAAAAACUUUUUGAUUUUCGACACAAAAACAAAUAUGAUCAGUUUAUGGCUCGACUCUCUAUGUCCCCAGCGGAGUCGCCAAGCUGUCGAAACCGUUUUUUGAAAACAAAAAUUUUAGUUGUCGACUUAAAAAAAACAAAAACUGGAGUCGCCACCGAUCCUUUAUUAAGGUGUGAUCGGCCCACCUUAAAAAUAAUUUUGGUCUGCGAAAUUCGAGAAAAUAGGCUCGGGAGUCAGUUACGCACGAGGAAGGAUUAGCACCCUCGUAACGCCCAAAAUUGGUACCAAAUUGAUUUUUUUUAAUGCCUUGGUGUCGAAAAUUUGAAAAGAUUUUAAAAGGAAACUUUUUAUUUCAUGAAUGGAUUAAAAUAAAAAGACAUUCGUAUUUCAAAGAAAUAAAACACCACACCCAGUGAGUUAGGGCACAAUGUUUUUAAAUCUUCAAAAUACCCGAAUAUUGCCUUUUGCUUUUGAAAAUUCUUAUUUCGAGAAGAAAAUGUCAUGACCAGUAAGUUAGGACCCAACAUUUCGAAUUCCCGAGAAUAAGUUUUUAUUUAAAAUUUGAAUUUAUUGCAAAACAAAUAUUUGGCUUUCUAAACUCAUCGAAAAAUAAUCGCGAUCCAAUAAGUUAGGACACGAUCUUUCACGAGAAUCAUGAAUACUAAAUAUUUUGGAAUUUAUAAAAUAAGAUGAUUUAAAUACUUUGAGAAAACAUAUAUUUUCUUUNNNNNNNNNNNNNNNNNNNNNNNNNNNNNNNNNNNNNNNNNNNNNNNNNNNNNNNNNNNNNNNNNNNNNNNNNNNNNNNNNNNNNNNNNNNNNNNNNNNNCACAAGUAAAUUUGAAAAUAUGUGCAUGCGUAUGUUUAACACACAUACACAAAUAUACAUAAAAAACAUGCAUAGCAUAACUUAUAAUAAUCUCCAAAAAUAUGUACGUAUAUUUCAUAAAACAUGCAUAUGUACAAAAAAAAUAGAAAAAAAAUGCAUAUGCCUUGUAAAAUAUGAGAGUACAUACAUAUAUAUAUAUAUAUAUACAUAUUUAUUUAUAAAAACUAUGUAAACAAAAUAUAUAUAAAAUAUGAGCGUAUAAGGACUAAAAUAUGUAUGUAAGCAUAUAUAUAUAUAUGAACGUAAAACUAUGAGAAUAAAAUAUAAAAACGUGUGGAUGUGUACAUGUUUAAAAAAAUGUAUAAACACAUAUAUAUAAAAUAUAAGGUAUAAAAAUAUAAAGGAUAAAAGAUAGAAUAAAGGAAAUAAAAUGUAUGUAAAACGUAUGCAUGCAUUUUAAAGCUUAAGGAUGUAUAUAUGCUAGAAAUGAAAACAUGAAAAGUGAAUAAUAAAAGUUAUACGUUUGUAAAAAACGAAAUAUAAAACAAUAUGUAUAUACACGUACAUGAAAAUCAUAAAUGGAAUUAGUGUAAUAAUAAUAGUAAUAAUAAACGUGUAACAGUAUAUUAAAAAAAGAAAAAAAACUAAAUAAAGUAAAGAAAAGACCAAAUUGAAUAAAAAAACCAAAAAAAUAGGGGCAAAUUCGAAAAUAAUAAAAAAGGGAUGAAUUCGAACACGCGAGCGGCAAUGGGGGACCAAAAGAGCAAUUUACCCAGGCCUCCAAAACGCUGCGCUGAAGGGGACUGAAUUGAAACGUGAAUUGAAUAUGCGGCCCAAUUUUAAAACAAAAAAAAAGAUUUAAUUGACAUGCGCUGCAAAAGGGAGGGGUCAAAUGCACAAAUAACCCAUAUGACGUUAGAACGCGCGGAUCCUCCCCUCCGGGUCGGGUCACCGCGCGAGUCACACUUGACCAAAACGACGCCGUUUUGAAUGUUGUUUAAAACAAAAAUUUUCCUUCCAAAAAAAUCCAUUUGAAAUCGAAUGGGAAAAAAAAAAAGAAACUCCGGCGCUCUGCUAGGGUUCAAUCCCUAGCGUCCUUGCGCCGCCACUCAAUCGGCCCUCUCACCAAACUCCGAUCACGACAGAGAUGGCGGUGGCACGGCGUUUUUAGGUAUGUUUUCCUCCCUUUUUGUUAUUUCAAAUGAAAUAAAAUGAAAAUAAAGAAAAAAAUGUAAAAACGAUAAACACUUUUAACAAUAAAAAAGAAAUCACCUUUAAAACAAAACAAGUUUUUUUCUGCUUUUAUUCCCGAUUCUCUCCGUCAAAAAUCCGUCCUUUUUACAGAUAAAAGUCGGCCUUUUAUAGCCUGAAAACCUAUUUGUUUUACACUAUAUUUUCGCUAAUGGACUCUCUGAAUCCGUGUUUGCAGGUGCGUGGAGAGUGGAGGCCGAAACGUGCGGAGGCUGCAGGAGGCUGUUGCGGCGCUGGGCAUGGGCUGCUGAGGCUUGCGGCGCUGAAGCAGAGAGGCUCUAGGGUUUCUGCUUUCAACGUUUUUGGUGUAUUGGGCUUGAACGGCCCAUUUUUGUUUUGUAAAUGGUCUGGGCCAAUUGGGCCUUAUUACACGUAUUAUAUAUAUAUAUAUAUAUAUAUAUAUUAUAAACCAAUGGCUAAAAAUUUUUCUAAUCCUUCUAGCUUUCUUUAUAUGAGAGUCGUUAAAUUUUAGUUUUGAUUCGUAUACUUUGCUCAAAUUUUAAAUUUAAUCUAUAUACUUUAAUUUUUCAUAAUUUAAUUUCUCAUCCUUUUUAAUAUCAUUAGUUAAUUUAAAUAUUUUAUUCCAAAAACUUGAAAUAUAAUAAUUUAAUUAAAAGAAUAAAUAAUCAACACGAAGCAUGGGUGAGAAUCAUAAAUCAUGCAUGACUUCUAUCAUUAAGUAUCCUUAGCAGUCUUUUUAAGCUGUUAUUAUUAUAUUAUUAUUUUAUUCGUGCAUUGAAAUUAAAUCAAAUCCGAAUAUAAUACGUAAUUUCUUUUUGACCGGUCCAAGAUUAAGUUUAAUAAAAUCUAUUUGCUGUAUAUUUAUUAUUAAGAAACAUUGGUCUUAGUACGUCUCCUUUAGAAUAUUUACACUUAAUUCGCAUUAAAUAUAAAAUAUGAUUAUAAUUAUUUAAAUUCUUUUGUUUGGAAAGGAUAAAAUAUGAAUAUUUACACUUGAAAAGUAUUUUGUUUAAUAGGUUGGUUUGUCUUAAUUUUGAAUAUGGAAAUUAAGUUAUCUUGGAAAAGGAAGUUACAUGAGAGAAAAACUUGUUAAUCCUUAGAAUUUUCAGCAUUUUUAUAGUAAUUUUGAAAUGGUUAAUAUUAUUGUUGAGUAUGACUUAUAGUUAAAUUUAAGAGAUAAUCUCUUAGUUAAACUCUGUUUAUUUGUUUCAGUUAAAUUUUGAUUAGUCUAGAUUAUUUUAUUAUUAUUUGACCUACGAAUUUAGCCUAUAAAUAGGAUCUUUUACAACAUUAUAAAAAACACCCAUUAAAAUAUUAGAACUCAUAACACUUUUGGAGAAUUUUGUAUUUACAUUUUGAGGGUUCUUUUUUUUAGGUUUCGGGGUUUAGUUUUUAUCUUCAUCUUUUGUAAUUUUUAUUUUUUUGUCAUUAUAGUAAAAUUAUCUUUAUCCGUGGUUUUUUAUCCUCUUUGGAGGGGUUUUUUUCACGUUAAAUUUGUGUGUUCAAUUUCUCAAUUGCUUCCGCUAUUUUUUACUUGUUUGUUGCUUAAUCGGAUCAAUUCCCAACAAUCAUCAUAUAAUAUUUUUUAUAUGUUGCUAGUGAAUUGAGGACAUAUUUCUAAAAUUUAAAUGAAUUUUUUCUUUUGUAUUCUUUAUAUUCAUUUUACGGUAAUGCAUCACAUAUAAAUCCAUUUUAAAUUGAAAUCCAUGUUUUAUCAUUUACAUUAUCUUAUAUUAUUUUGAGCUAAUUCAAUCAAUUGUCUCUAAAUUAUUGUCAAUAUUUUUAAGGUAUAAUGUCAAAUUGUUUACAUCUUUUUUCAGUUUGGUUCUUAUUCUUUUUUGAGUUAUAAAUUUGGCCCUCAAUUUUUUUUAAAAAAUUGUCAAAUCACUUUUUAAUGAAAAUAUUCAUUAAAACCUUAUUUUUUAACGAUGUUGGUAUGUCAACCCGUGUGGUAAUCCACGUGUACUUCAUGCUAACAUGACACUUUAUCUUAUAUAUCACACCAAGAAAUAAUUUAAAUUAUAAAAAAUUCCAAAAAAAAACGAGAGCAUGAAGUACAUGUGGAUUGCUAUGCGAGCUGUCAUGUCUAAAAACCUAAUGUUUAGCUAAUAUUUCCGUUAAAAAAAUAACAAUUUAAUUUUUUUUGAAAGGUUGAUGGUCAAAUAUGAUUUUUUUUUAAAGGUCGUGAGCCAAAUUGAUAAAAAAAAAUGUAAACAUUAAGGGAUAAAUUUGACAUUAUGCCAAUUCUUAAUUAGUUUUAAACUUCAAAAUAUGUUAUUGACAUGGUAUCAAAUAGGUUUUCCAUUAGCAUAGUAGUUAAUUUAAGUGUUAAAUGUCAAUUAGGAUAUAAUGUGGAGCCUACUUAAAACAUGAAUUAAAUUGUAAAUUUGAGUAUUGUCACUUCCCAAAAAUAAGGCUAGAAGAAAUAGGGAUAAAAUUUAGAUUUUAUUUUUUUAAGCAUAGGGUAAAAGAAUUUAGAAUGCCUUAAAAAUUAUUUUUGAUAAGAAAUUAACAAGAAUUAGUCUACUAGUUCAUUGGUAAGGCCUUAGCUUUCUCUUGGGUCUCAAGUUUGAAAUCUCUUGUUCACCUUUCAAGCAAAAUAUUUUAUUUUCUUAUUUUUACCCCAUAAAAGUGCCGAAUUUUCAAACUAGCCCAAACCAAAAAUUGUUAUUUUCUAAUUUAGUCCUUAAUUUAAAAUAGUCUUGCUUCUCCAUGGAAUCCUAAAACCUAUUUCAAUUAGGGAAAAAGAGUUUUAUAAUUAGGAAAUCUUUUCAAAACUCUAGAAAUUUUAUCUAGUGAAUUUUUCAAGGAAAACUCUCAAGUUCUUCAUUUUCUCCAUCAUUACCAAACCAAUUUUCAAGCAAAGAAAUCCAAGGUUUCCAAAAUCGUCCCUCUCCUCCCAAGUAGACCAUCAUUCUCCUCAUCCAAAUUAAGGUUUUUGUGUCUUCGAAUCAGGUGUGGGAUCUAAACAUAAAUCAUUAUAUAUGAUUAACUGUAGUGUUAGGAAGUAAUAAGACUGCUAUGCAACCCCUCAUGUUAUGCGAACCCCCUUGCAUGUGCGAGCCCUGUGUGUGAUCCCCGUGUGCAAAACCCCCUAUGUGUGAGCUUGUGAGCGAACCUCUAUACGCGAACCCCUAUAGAUGAACUAUAGCUUGUAUAUACAUAUGCAAACCCUCAUGAUUUUUAGUAUAGGAUUUAAGUUGCAAACCCUAUAUAUAUUACGCGAGGCAUAUAUAUCAUGCGCACCCUAAACAUACUUUGCGAGCUUUAUAUAACAUGCAAACCCUAGGUAAUAUGUGAAUCGAGUAUAUCAUGCAAACCCUAGGUCCUAUACGAGCUAUAUAUAUCAUGUGAACCAAAGCUUGCAUAUCAUGAAAAUCCUAGGUACUAUGCGAACCCCCUGUGUUACAAACCCCCUGUAUGUCCGAACUCUGUUAGGCGAACUGAAGCAUAUGUGCGAACCCUACAUGUACGAACCCCUAGGUGCAAACCCUACAUGCGCUAACCCAUAUGUGCAAUCCUAUAUGUGCGAACCCUGUAUGUGCAAACCCUGCUUAUGUAUGUGUUAGCCGAACUAAGAAUGUUAAUAUGCAUGAAGAUAUUGUAUAUGUGAAAUUGUUUUAGAUCGCUUAAAUUAAUUGUAUAUGUGAAAUUGAUGGGAAUGGAUGAAUGAUCACAUGCCAUUAAAUGAUAGUAUGAAAUAUCAAAUGAAGCAUUGAAAGAUGAUAAAUAGCAUAAUAUGCUAAUUGUAUGUGCAUAAUUACAUGAAUUUAGGUAAGAAGGUCGAAGGAGUUCCAUAGGAGAUAGUGGCAAUUCAAGUCCACACCAAAAGUCAGUAUUGCACAGAGUAGGUGGCUAUGUCAUCAAAACUGGAUAAAUCAGGAUGAUAGUUUAAAAAGCCAUAAAAAAUCGGGUAACUGAGAUGGUAAGUUAUUGUUGUAAAAGUCAUCGUCACAUAUGACAAGUGAACGACCAUCGUCAUCGGAAAUCAAAUCCGAGAUGGUUAGUUUUUUUUAUGUGUUUUGGUGUGUCGAGCGAUGCUUGAUGGCGAUUAAGAUGGACAGGUUGGAAAUUAAAUUUAUAAUUGCAUUUGCAUCAUGAAUAAACUAUAUAUGCAUUGAAUCACUACAUGUUCCUUACAUCAGCUUAACUUGUAUUAUGCUUGAUUUGUUAUUAUGCUAUAAAUUAAAUUCUAUAUUAUUUGAAUGAUUAUAUAUAACGGUUUAAAAAUUAGACUCACACUGAGCUAUCAUAAGCUCACCCCCCAUUUCUUUACCUCUUAGGUAAUGCAGGAAACUAGGUCUCGGAAUGGCAUAAGAAGAACCUCGAAUUAGCAACUUGUUUUGGUUUUAUUUAAAAGUUUCAUUAAAAGUUUUCCUUAAUAAUUUAUUUUUGGGUUUGUAAUUAUUAAGUAUUUUCUCGUUUUUAUAUCAUAGGUUUGGGAUUUGUUUAGCUUAUUUAUUUUAAGCAUGUCAUUUGAUUAUUACUCUAAUAUUUGCAUGCUAUUCAGUAUAGGAAACUAUUAUUCUAAAUGUUUUCUGCUGCUUUACAAAAUACUUAAAGUUUUGAUAGGUCUUUUCUUAAAAACUUAAAAGUCGUUUUCUUAAAACUUCAUAUCAAUUAUACUGUAGAUGAACUAAUAAGUCAAAUUGGUUUAAUGAAUGAAUGUUUUUCUAAAAACAAAAGAGUAUUUCCAUACAAAUCAAACGCAUCUAAAAAGAACGGUUUUACAGGAUCACUUCGGUGAUCGAAUGUAAUGCCUUUGACUUAGCCGAAACUCCUAGGCCAGGUCGAGGAUGUUACAUAUAUAUAUAACUACGACAUGAAAAACCUGGAUUUGACGUAUUAAAAACUAGUAUCAAUUAAAUUUUAUCUAUGCAAUAGAUAUAUAUGUUUUUUAUAAUUUGAUCUACGAAUUUUAAAUAUAUUUCAUCUCAAAUUUGAGUUGGCAUUUAAUGCCUAAACUAAUUGUUGAAUUAAUAAAAGGACUUAAUUGAUAUGAUAUGAUAAUUUGAGAACUAAAUUAAAACAUUUUAAAAAUUAAAGAUGAAUUUAAAAUCCCAUAAUUUGAGAACAUUGCGUCUAAUGUGUUUAUGGUGAAUUGUAAACAAAUCCUUGGUCAAACCUGACAUGCUCUAUAAAAAUCCAUGAAAAAUCAGUUGUAAAAAGGUAGAAAAGAAAGGCAAAUACUUUCAGAUGCUUAACCGACUUCAUUCAAUUUUUAUUUUCAUAUAAAAAAUACUUAAUAUAUUUAAUAUAUAUUUGAUGGUUGAAUUUUUUACAUAAAAUAAAUUAAAUUUAUAUAAAAUUUGUUAUGCAUAAUUUAAAGGAAUAAACCAUAAAACAUAAUGGUUUUAUCGUUAAAAUAUUAAUUAUAUAAAUAAUUAUAAAAGUGUAUAAAAUUACUUUAAUUUUUAUUAAUUUUUAAUUUCUUCGUUAUUAUUUUUAUUAAUUUUUUUUAAAAAAAUUAUAAAAUAUUUGAUGUUUAGAAUUUUAAGAAUGAUACAUAUAAACAAUUUCUUUUCUUAGUUUUUAAAUUCAUCCAUUUAAAAACAAUUCUGAUAUCCUAAAGAGAGUGGGUCAAAUAAGUAACAAAUUUAUUUAUUUUAAAAUGCUAACAAGUAAACAAAUACAUUUGAUCACUAAGGAUUAAAAGAAACAUGACAAACAUUUUUUAAAGUAAAAUUUUAAAACUUUAUAUCAAAAUAAGUCAGUAUUUUGAAUACUAUAGAGUCGUAUUGUUCUUUCUUUCCAAUCAUAUUUCCUAGGAAAUUAAUAUAAGAUUACUGGUCAAAAGUUUUGUGAAGAGUAUGUCAAAAGCAGAGAAAAGAAUAAAUAUCAUUCAUGCCCUCAAACAUUUUGAUCGAACUGCAAAAGUUUAAAGUAAAUAGAGGAUAUUUAAACCUUUUUUACAGACAUCAACUUUGAAUCAAAAGAAUCAAACAAAAGACAAAUCAACAUUUCUUUUAAUCUAUUUGUAUUUCUCAUGCACUUUGUUUUCUUGAAUUUAAGUUCUCCUUUUUUGACUUCAAAUAUCACCACUAUUUUUCUUACCUAUAAAUACAUGCAACAAUUGCACUCUUAUCCUCACACAAAUUCUGUGCCAAAUUUCAAGAGCAAACCAAGAAAAGGCUGCAAAUUCAGCUUUUCAAUAUCUGCUUUUGAUCAAUCGAAAUGGCUUCACAAGUUUCUCAAAUGCCUUCUUCAUCACCCCUUUCUUCCAAUAAGGAUGAAAUCCGUCCCAAAGCCGAUUUUCAGCCUAGCAUUUGGGGAGAUUUCUUCCUCAAUUGUCCCGACAAGGUAUACAUACAUAUCACCAUAUUGAUAUAAUCUUAACAUAUUAUUUGUUCAAUUAUUUAGUGAUUCAAUAUGAAGAAAAUUUUCAUUGUUUUGAGCAGAAUAUUGAUGCUGGAACUGAAAAACGCCACCAACAAUUGAAAGAAGAAGUGAGGAAGAUGAUUGUGGCACCAAUGGCUAAUUCGACCCAAAAGUUAGCCUUCAUUGAUUCAGUCCAAAGACUGGGUGUGAGUUACCAUUUCACCAAGGAGAUCGAAGAUGAACUAGAGAAUAUCUACCAUAACAACAAUGAUGCCGAGAACGACCUCUACACUACAUCUCUUCGAUUCCGACUACUCCGAGAGCAUGGAUACAAUGUUUCAUGCGGUAAUUAUUGGAACAGAAACAUAGUGUUUUUAAGUUUCUUGAGAAUAUAAUAGCAUGGAAUGUUUGAUAACGAUAUUUCAUUUUGGGUAAUUUCAUGUCAGACGUAUUCAACAAGUUUAAAGACGAGCAAGGGAAUUUCAAGUCAUCCGUGACAAGCGAUGUUCGAGGAUUGUUGGAACUUUACCAAGCUUCCUAUUUGAGGGUUCAUGGGGAAGAUAUAUUGGAUGAAGCAAUUUCUUUCACCACCAACCAUUUAAGCCUUGCAGUAGCAUCUUUGGACCAUCCUUUGUCCGAAGAGGUUUCUCAUGCUUUGAAACAAUCAAUUCGAAGAGGCUUGCCAAGGGUUGAGGCAAGGCACUAUCUUUCAGUAUACCAAGAUAUUGAGUCCCAUAAUAAGGCUUUGUUGGAGUUUGCUAAGAUCGACUUCAACAUCUUACAAUUUUUGCAUAGGAAAGAGCUAAGCGAGAUUUGCAGGUAUGUUUUUUAAUCUCUUUCACCCAUUUUUUCUUUUUCAUCUUAUUUAUUUAUUUAUUUAUUAGUGGAAGGAGGGUUGAAUUUAUUGGAGACAUCAUUCUCAGUAUAGGAGACAAGUUGCAAAUGCUAAUAUUUGAAUCUUAUUAAAUAGUACAAGUUAAAAGUGAUGGCAUGAACCUUGGAUUCAUCUUUUUCACCUAUAUCAUUUUACUUAUAAAUAUUUUAAUAUUUGAGGUUGCCAAUUGACUUAAAUCUAACAACAUGAAUGUGAAACUAAUUGAAACAUUGAAUAUUAAUUGUGCUAAUGGGGUUUUUUAUGAUAUCAUUUUUUAGGUGGUGGAAAGAUUUAGACUUUCAAAGAAAGUUGCCAUAUGCAAGAGAUAGAGUGGUUGAAGGCUAUUUUUGGAUCUCAGGAGUGUACUUUGAGCCCCAAUAUUCACUUGGUAGAAAGAUGUUGACAAAAGUGAUAGCAAUGGCAUCUAUUGUAGAUGAUACAUAUGACUCAUAUGCAACAUAUGAAGAGCUCAUUCCAUAUACAAAUGCAAUUGAGAGGUUAGAUUUCUUUAAUUUUGUUGGUAAUAGGUUAGGUUUCUUUAGUUGAAGUUAACAUUCAAUAAUAUAUUACGAGGAAUGAUUAAAUAUAACGUUGAAGUUGGAUUCAGGUGGGAUAUCAAAUGCAUAGAUGAACUUCCUGAAUACAUGAAGCCGAGCUACAAGGCACUAUUAGAUGUUUAUGAAGAAAUGGAACAACUGGUGGCUGAGCAUGGGAGACAAUAUCGUGUUGAAUAUGCGAAAAAUGCGGUAUGUACAUCAACAAACAUUUAUUUUGUACAAAAGAGAUAAGAUCUUAGCUAAAUUCUAGAUUUGAAUAAACAACUAACUCGAAUAACAAUAUAUAAUCAUUUAAAUAUUAUUAUCGAAUUUGAAUUGAUAUUAGUGAUAAUUGUUGGGAUUUUUUCGCUUCAGAUGAUACGACUUGCUCAAUCUUAUCUUGUGGAGGCCAGAUGGACUCUUCAAAACUACAAACCAUCAUUCGAGGAGUUUAAGGCUAAUGCAUUGCCAACUUGUGGUUAUGCCAUGCUUGCUAUUACAUCUUUCGUCGGCAUGGGAGAUAUCGUAACACCAGAGACCUUUAAAUGGGCAGCCAAUGACCCUAAGAUAAUUCAAGCUUCCACAAUUAUUUGUAGGUUUAUGGAUGAUGUUGCGGAACACAAGGUAUAAUAAUAUAUUUAGAUAACCACAGGAAACCGAACUCUUAACUAAAUAAUUCAAUGUCUUUGUAACAAAAUCAAACGAUGGUUUUUAUCAUGAUCUAAAAAAAAAUAAAGUUUAAUGUUUAUAUAUAAAAUGUUUAGUCUCAAAUUGAAGAAUAAGAAAAGAAAUCUAGUUUCAUUUUAGGGCUUUUAGUGAGGAAGUAUUGUCAAUAAAUGUAUUUUAUCGUCACAAACAAAGGUAGUUUAAUAAACUGAUAGAUUUUAGGGUAUAUAGUGAUAGAAUAAUUUUGAUUUUAUUAUGGCUGCAGUUUAAGCAUAGGAGAGAAGACGAUUGCUCAGCAAUAGAGUGUUACAUGGAAGAAUAUGGCGUAUCAGCACAAGAGGCAUAUGAUGUAUUCAACAAGCAUGUUGAGAGUGCCUGGAAGGAUGUGAAUCAAGAGUUUCUGAAACCAACAGAAAUGCCAACAGAAGUUUUAAAUCGUAGCCUAAACCUUGCAAGGGUGAUGGAUGUACUUUACAGGGAAGGAGAUGGAUAUACAUAUGUUGGAAAAGCGGCUAAGGGUGGAAUCACUUCAUUGCUUAUUGAACCAAUUGCACUUUGAAAUUUAUAUUAAAUUUUCCUCUUCAAGCAUCUUCC
rnacentral:lncRNA from 1 species